rnacentral:rRNA from 1 species
CAUAGCACUCUGCAAACACGAAAGUGGACGUAUAGGGUGUGAUGCCUGCCCGGUGCUGGAAGGUUAAUUGAUGGGGUUAGCGUAAGCGAAGCUCUUGAUCGAAGCCCCAGUAAACGGCGGCCGUAACUAUAACGGUCCUAAGGUAGCGAAAUUCCUUGUCGGGUAAGUUCCGACCUGCACGAAUGGCAUAAUGAUGGCGGCGCUGUCUCCAGCAGAGGCUCAGUGAAAUCGAAAUCGCUGUGAAGAUGCAGUGUACCCGCGGCUAGACGGAAAGACCCCGUGAACCUUUACUGCAGCUUGACACUGAACUUUGACCUUACUUGUGUAGGAUAGGUGGGAGGCUUUGAAGCUGGAACGCUAGUUCCAGUGGAGCCGUCCUUGAAAUACCACCCUGGUAAUGUUGAGGUUCUAACUCUGUCCCGUGAUCCGGGACGAGGACCGUGUCUGGUGGGUAGUUUGACUGGGGCGGUCUCCUCCUAAAGAGUAACGGAGGAGUACGAAGGUGCGCUCAGCGUGGUCGGAAAUCACGCGUAGAGUAUAAAGGCAAAAGCGCGCUUAACUGCGAGACCCACAAGUCGAGCAGGUACGAAAGUAGGUCUUAGUGAUCCGGUGGUUCUGUAUGGAAGGGCCAUCGCUCAACGGAUAAAAGGUACUCUGGGGAUAACAGGCUGAUACCGCCCAAGAGUUCAUAUCGACGGCGGUGUUUGGCACCUCGAUGUCGGCUCAUCUCAUCCUGGGGCUGAAGCAGGUCCCAAGGGUAUGGCUGUUCGCCAUUUAAAGAGGUACGCGAGCUGGGUUUAGAACGUCGUGAGACAGUUCGGUCCCUAUCUACCGUGGGCGCUGGAAAUUUGAGAGGAUCUGCUCCUAGUACGAGAGGACCAGAGUGGACGAACCUCUGGUGUACCGGUUGUGACGCCAGUCGCAUCGCCGGGUAGCUAUGUUCGGAAGGGAUAACCGCUGAAAGCAUCUAAGCGGGAAGCCUACCUCAAGAUAAGAUUUCCCUAGGACUUUAUGUCCUCUAAAGAGCCGUUCGAGACUAGGACGUUGAUAGGUUGGAUGUGGAAGCAUAGUGAUAUGUGAAGCUGACCAAUACUAAUUGCUCGUGAGGCUUGACUAU